rnacentral:rRNA from 1 species
GCUAAAUAUGACCACGAGACCGAUAGCGAACAAGUACCGUGAGGGAAAGUUGAAAAGCACUUUGAAGAGAGAGUUCAAGAGUACGUGAAACCGUUUAGGGGUAAACCUGAGAAACCCGAAAGGUCGAAGGGAGAAAUUCAUUCGCGUUUCGUCGCGGGCGUCGGACGGGGUCGUGUGACGGAGAGCGCGUUCGCGCGCUCUUCGCGCCCCCCGCUCGACGAACCGGUAACGAACGCGUGCACUUUUCUCCCGGUAGGACGUCGCGAUCCGUUGGGUGUCGGUCUACGGCUCGCGGUGGAGCCCGUCCGUACGUUUCGCGACGUACGGGCGGACCCGCGUGUCCCGGCCGACCCGCUCGACGGUAYAAGAAUGGUUUUAGGCCGCUCUCGGAGCGUUCGGCUCGCGGCAAGCGCGCCAUUUGCGCCGGCAAUCGGACCCCGUGCCGAUUCUGGCCUCUGGCGACUGUUGGCCGCGAAGUCCUCGAACAGACCUUCUCUUAAAAACCGAUCUGCGACGCUAUAGCUUUGGGUACUUUCAGGACCCGUCUUGAAACACGGACCAAGGAGUCUAGCGCGUGCGCGAGUCAUUGGGAAAUACUAAACCUAAAGGCGCAAUGAAAGUAAAGGUUCCCCUCGCGGGAACUUAGGGAAGACGGGCGGUUUCACCUUUAAAAGUGGCCGCCCCGCAUUCCCGGGGCGUCUCGUUCUCAUCGCGAGAAGAGGCGCACCAAGAGCGUACGCGCUGGGACCCGAAAGAUGGUGAACUAUG